rnacentral:rRNA from 1 species
AAGGAAAGCGAGGGGAUCGCAAGACCUUGCGCUGAUUGAGCGGCCGAUAUCAGAUUAGCUAGUUGGUGAGGUAAAGGCUCACCAAGGCGACGAUCUGUAGCGGGUCUGAGAGGAUGAUCCGCCACACUGGAACUGAGACACGGUCCAGACUCCUACGGGAGGCAGCAGUGGGGAAUUUUGGACAAUGGGCGCAAGCCUGAUCCAGCCAUGCCGCGUGAGUGAAGAAGGCCUUCGGGUUGUAAAGCUCUUUCGGCCGGGAAGAAAUCGCACAGGUUAAUACCCUGUGUGGAUGACGGUACCGGGAUAAGAAGCACCGGCUAACUACGUG